UACGGGGGGGGCAAGCGUUGUUCGGAAUUACUGGGCGUAAAGGGCUCGUAGGUGGCCAACUAAGUCAGGGGUGAAAUCCUGGAGCUCAACUCCAGAACUGCCUUCGAUACUGGCGAUCUCGAGUCCGGAAGAGGUGAGUGGAACUCCUAGUGUAGAGGUGGAAUUCGUAGAUAUUAGGAAGAACACCAGUGGCGAAGGCGGCUCACUGGUCCGGUACUGACGCUGAGGUGCGAAAGCGUGGGGAGCAAACAGG
rnacentral:rRNA from 1 species